GAAGGUAUAGCUCAGUGGUAGAGCAUGUGCUUAACAUGCAUGAGGUUCUGGGCUCAAUCCCCAGUAUCUCCA
rnacentral:tRNA from 1 species